rnacentral:rRNA from 1 species
UGCAGUCGAACGAAGUAGCAAUACUUAGUGGCAGACGGGUGAGUAACAUGUAGGUAUCUACCCUUUGGCCUGGAAUAACACGAGGAAACUUGUGCUAAUACCGGAUAAGUCUUUACGGAGAAAGCUUUAUGCACCAUUGGAUGAGCCUGCACUUGAUUAGUUUGUUGGUGGGGUAAUGGCCUACCAAGACUGUGAUCAAUAGCUGAUUUGAGAGGAUGAUCAGCCACAUUGGGACUGAGACACGGCCCAAACUCCUACGGGAGGCAGCAGUGGGGAAUCUUGCACAAUGGAGGAAACUCUGAUGCAGCGAUGCCGCGUGAGUGAAGAAGGCCCUUGGGUUGUAAAGCUCUUUCGUCGGGGAAGAAAAUGACUGUACCCGAAUAAGAAGGUCCGGCUAACUUCGUGCCAGCAGCCGCGGUAAUACGAAGGGACCUAGCGUAGUUCGGAAUUACUGGGCUUAAAGAGUUCGUAGGUGGUUGAAAAAGUUAGUGGUGAAAUCCCAGAGCUUAACUCUGGAACUGCCAUUAAAACUUUUCAGCUAGAGUAUGAUAGAGGAAAGCAGAAUUUCUAGUGUAGAGGUGAAAUUCGUAGAUAUUAGAAAGAAUACCAAUUGCGAAGGCAGCUUUCUGGAUCAUUACUGACACUGAGGAACGAAAGCAUGGGUAGCGAAGAGGAUUAGGUACCCUCGUAGUCCAUGCCGUAAACGAUGUGUGUUAGACGUUGGAAAUUUAUUUUCAGUGUCGCAGCGAAAGCGAUAAACACACCGCCUGGGGAGUACGACCGCAAGGUUAAAACUCAAAUGAAUUGACGGGGACCCGCACAAGUAGUGGAGCAUGUGGUUCAAUUCGAAGAUACGCGCAGAACCUUUACAACACUUGACAUGUUCGUCGCGACUCU